UUUUUUUUUCUUUUGUCAUUUAUAGGAGUUGUACCAUUGGUGGAGGCGACGCGUCUUAUUGGUUCCGUCAUUGAAGACGGCCGCAUCUGAAUGGACAAAGCUGUUACACAAGGUCACAUCUUAUCGGCUGCCGUACAUGAACGGAGCUAUGGUGUGCUUAUGGGGGGUUGUGGCGGAGGUAUAUGUGCUUAUGGGUAUGGGGGGUUGUGCCCCCCCCCCCCUUGCAUGUCUUAGGAAAACGUGUGAACGAAUUAUUUUUCGAAAGGUUAGAUGAGAAAACAAAAAGUAUUUGGCCCCUUAAGUCCACAUAUUUUAUCAUUUGCCCCCCUGAACUUCCUCUCUAGCUCGCAUGAGUGGAUAUAUAGGAAAGGAUUCCAAAUCCGCCGAAUGGCUCGUAUGAUCGUGAGCAUUCACAAAAGGCCACUGAUAGGUGCCGGUGCGCCGGCCGAAAUUUCGACCGGUCGCACCGCGCACAUACGAUUUGACUAUUUUAGUCCCGUCUGAUUGAAGUGGUGAGAUAAAAAGUUGUCCGGGCCGUUCCUUUCUUUGCUCAUGUACGCACGUCGCGUCGCUUGUCCCAUGUGCAUCAGCGCCAUGCCGUGCAUGUUGCAUGUUGUUAUGUGUGUGGAGCCCACCCAAAUGAUGCUACACUUCUCACUGCUAUCUACACAGGGAGUCUGCACUUGUUUUUAGAGUGUAUCACCUAUGUCGGCAGAACUUCACAACAAAACCUACAAAUCAAAGCAAAAAAAAAUGUAGCAUUGUAGCAUAAACCAAAAAACAAAAACCAUGAAAGCAAAAUUGGUGUAUGUUCCAACAUAUCUCCCAUAUUUCUACAACUGAAAAAGCACUCAUGUAGCAUUCCAUCAAGAAACAAUAACAAUUUCUUGGGAGUAGAUUCCUAGCUUGUUUACAAACAAUAAUCACCAAAUACUUUCAGAAAGUAACUUGGUUGAAGCCAGUGGCGGUGCCAGGAUUCAAACCUUGUGAUGUCAAGAUUUACAAAAAAAAAGAGUAAAAAGAGCAUACGUUUUUACAAACAUAUUUUUGGUAACAAUCCUUUGCGCUUCUGCAUAUUUUGAUAGGUAUGCAUAAUAGCAUUGUGCUAAUAGAUUGGAUUACAUUGGUUUCAACAUAAGUACGAUAAGACAAUGAUACAAGAAAUCAUCGCCCCAUUUAUUCCACAAAUCAUAUUAGGUAUAUUUUAUUAUGUGGAAAAUGUUAUCCCAACUGUCACCAUCGCAGCCGGCAAAAUCACUGAUAGCUUCACCAAUAUACUAGAGGAAAAUUGGUAUUACUGAAAACGACAUAUCAAAUUCUUAAUAAAGAACAACCUCUUAAUUUCUAAUAUUGGUCGUGAGAGAAGAAAUUAGGAAGAGAAGGAAGAUAGGACUUACAAAUGAAAGGAGAAGGGCAUGUCUUGGUGUUGGAUUUGAUAUCAUCGUGCCAUGGGCAUCACGUCGCCCGCGGCUCGCCGGAGGCGAACUGACGAUGAACAGUGCAUCACAUCGCAGUCGCUGGAGAUCGACGUGCAGUUCGAAGAUUGCAUCUAAAUUUUAGUGGUAUUUUGGAGAGGCUUUUACACGGGAAGCAGAAAACUGAAAAGGUGGAGAAGUUUGAACUGUAGAAGGAGAAAUCACGGGAUUUCAGGGAUCAACCGAUCAGGGAAGUUAUUAGGAUUGCUUUCUUUCUUUUUCCCAGCCAAAUGUUACCCCAAAGGCCCGAACAUAUGACAAGUGGGCCUUUGUAUUCAGUUUUCAGAAUUUGCUUGUUCAGCGGUGGCCGCUGGUUGAAGCACCCCUGGUGCGCCGCUGGCGGCCUCACUGUCGACGCUCGCUGCACGGGUUGCAUGAACGAUAGUAGCGAGCCAACGCCAUUUAAUGGAUGUAGCAAAAAACCUCGCCGGUCGUAGCAAAAAAACAAUGACGGUUGCAGCAAAAAUCAUCGCCGCCGUCGUCCCGGGUCAAAUCUUCGCCAUGAAUGGAUGUAGCAAAAAACCUCUCUGGUAGUAGCAAAAAACAAUUACGGGGGCAACAAAAAUCAUGGUCGCCGCCGUCCCUGGUCGCAUCUCCAUCAUGAAUGGAUGAAGCAAAAAACAUCGCCGGUAGUAGCAAAAAACAAUUAUGGGUGCAACAAAAAUCACCGUCCCGGGUUGCGUCACCGCCAUGAACGAAUGUAGCAAAAAAAAAACUUCGUCGUUAGUAGCAAAAAACAAUUACAGGUGCAGCAAAAAUCCUCAUCGCCGCCGUCCCUGGUCGCAUCUCCGCCAUGAAUGGAUAUAGCAAAACAACCUCGCCGAUAGUAGCAAAAAACAAUUACGGUCCAGAAAAAAUUAUCCUCGCCGCCGUCUCUGGUCGCAUCUCUGCCAUAAAAUGAAUGUAACAAAUUUUCUCACCGAUUGUAACAACUGACGACGAUUGCAGCAAAAGGCCGUCGGCCGUAGCUCCGACUUGAAUGGAUGUAGCAAAAAAAUCGCUGGUUCCAGCACGCGGCCGCCACGGUCGCAGCUCGCCGGACGACGCAUCGGAGGACUGAGAGAAAAAAAUAGCAGCCAUGAUGGGCCAAGGGCAUGUAGGAGGCUGAGGAGGAAAAUCCAACAACGCAAACAAAUGAAUCUGUAGACGUGUUAGCCAUAGAAUCGCUGGGCGAUCCAGCGGUACGCCAGCGACCGGCCGGCACAUAACGUUUCCCUUCACAAAAUGCUUAAAUUUGAUUUUUGAGACAUGGUAUCAUGUGAUGUCUUCCCCCGAAGGCACGAGAAGGUCGCUCACAAACAGUGACACCACCACGUACAAGUACAACAUUCCGUUGGCGUUAAGCGUGACAUACAUCGAGCGGCAUGUUAACAUGGUUUCAGUUGACAGCAUGCUAAUUAAGCAGCUUGAUUUUUAUUAUUCGCAGUGGCAUGGUUGGGUAUCAUUCCUCAGCCACGGCGGCGACGAUCCCGCGGUACACGGCAGGCUCAACGACGGCCGCCGCCGGAGUAAGAUUUACCAGCACCUUCGCCGGCGCCACUAGCUGCCUGGCCUGCUCCCUGGGCCGCCGACUUCACGGCGGCUCCCGCGCCCUCAGCAGCGGUGGCGGCGCCUGUCCCGGCUCCUUCGGCCGCUUUGCCGAACUCGCUGCCGGCACCCUGGCCGUCGGCAGUCAUCACGACCGCCAUGCUGACCAUCACCAGCAGCAGCGCCACCAGGGCAACCCCCUUCUUCCCCAUGCUCCCUCUUUCUUACUCCCGCUAAAAUGAUCUAUCUUUCUAUCGAUCGAUCGAUGAAGCAUACAUAAUAUCCAACGACGGAGGUCUAUUUAUAGCAAGCCCAGCUGCGCCUCAGGCCUCACUUCUCGUUUCCAGAUAAUAGUACAUUGUAGCUACAAUAAUGGAUAUGGACCAGCGUAUCUUGAUAACACGACCUAAUUCCAUCACUAAACUAGUGCUCCUUCCAACCAAAUAUUAUUAUUCUUAUUUGUCUCUCUUCUAGGCUUCUAGCUGCUGCUACACGUACAGCGUCCAUUCAUGUGGUUAUUAAUUACUACACCCAUCACAAACCAAUGAGAACAAUCGAUGGUGAUCUGGGCAAGCAUAGGGAUCAAACAUCCUGCUCUGUUAGAUGAAGUUGAGAUGCUCAGGCAAUAGGCGUCUUCUUUCACUACUACCUUGUACAGGAAGAGAAGCUUCUUGCAAGUGUGCACACACAAUUAAAAAAAAACAGUACCAUCAGCAACACAUCAGGUGCACAGACGAUGACAGGCUAAAGCAGUUUGAUUUUAUUCAUGAUGCAAAUUAAAUGGUGGUAGAGCAGCACCACCAGAACUCUUUUCUUUUAUCAGACACAUUCUUGCUUGCCCAUGCUUACUACAGGAGCGAUCCCCCGCUGCAUGACUCGCUAGACUCGAACCAGACACUGUUUUCAUCCGCAUCUUCCAGAUGCAGCUACAUGUAAUAUCCAGUGAUAUCGAGAUCAGAAACCCCGUUUACAUCAUCCUUGCUUCGCCAAAAUUAACCACGCGAGUAAAUGACAGUGUACGUAACGCAUCUCUUGCCAUCAUAUCACCGGCCCCUCGUAUCUCCACCAUACAUAUUUUGCUUUCUACAAAAAUUCGUCUGGCAAAGCAAAUUCCCCUUCCUUUGCCGGCUGCCAUGUUUUUCUACUACCUUACCUGCCCUGCAUAUCUAGCUAGAUGGAUAGAUAGAUAAAUGUUACAAGUAAAAAAAAAAGGUUACUGGGAUGUCGUCUGUCUUUUGGCACAAACCACAGCAAGGCAGUGCCAUAUGUAGUAUAUCAUCUUCGUUCGCCUGUCCCUCAACUGGCGAAACCCCGCAGGAAACCAAACCGGCUCGAACUCGAAACAGGUCUCUUGAGGGUUGCUGCUGUGCUUGAAGUGUCCUUUGGCGCCUCAGGGGUAGGCACUCCUUCCUUCAUCGAAGUUGCCCGGUUGAUCACAGCCUAGAGAUUAAACAGCAAGAGCUUCAGUUGCAUUCGGUUUGGAUUUAACCAAGGUACUCUAUGUUGUAAUUACUAAAAAUAGCUGGUAGAAUCGUACAAACAUAUCCUAUCUACAAAUAGAUAGUCCAAGCUACCAUGUCAAAAAGAUGGCGGUGCCGGGGGCAAAGUUCCACAACAUAUAAUACAUCCACAAAGUACAUUUUUCUUAAAGUUAUUCUUUUCUACAGCCCGUACAAGCUGUCACUCAAAGAGUGACAUGUUUUUAUUAAAAAAAUCACCACAUUCUGAUUAACAUGGAAGAGCAAACUAGAGUUAGCAGACCAAAAUUAGGUUCAAAAUGUAAUGCUAUAGAUAUCCAAUAUUCACGACUAGUACUUUCAGGCAGCGUGUCAAAUCACUGUGUACAACAAUCAUUAGGCAGAUCGCACCAUCUUCAAGUAGAAAGUAUCAACAGACCAUAAGAAGCCCUAAAGAACAAAAUGCCAAGAGAUGCUCUUACCCUUUUAGGUAUUGAUGUAGUUCCAGCUAGCAUACUCAGUCCUGAUGCUGAUAUGGCUGUAGACGAACGCAAAACCUAUAUAAAAUUAAAAUAUUAGACACAAUAGACCAGGCCAAAUGUGUUGUAAAAAAUAUUAAAUUAAAACUGACCUUAGGUGGAUCUGCUCUAGGUGAUUGAGCUAGAGGAGACACGGGUUCUGAACCUGACGGCAAAGAAGCAGUCUGUAGUAAGAAAGAGAAAAAGGUUAGCCUGUGAAGAUCAAAACUAUAUUGAAACUGGAAAAAGGGUGAAGGAAGUUACCCUAGUAAUUCCUUCUGAAGACUCGAUAGCAGGGAGAGGAGUUGAUGCUGUGACCUGAAAAAUGAUUUUGUUUACGAGAUUAGGAUUCACAGAGAACACGACAUUCGAACCAACAGGCCUCAUGCCAUAGACGCGUCAUGAAAAUGGCCACAAUAAAAUAAGCACGCUAUAGGGAAUAAUGUAUGAGAUAUAUUCACAGGACUUGCCUUAAGAGCAUCGGCUUUCGGACUCCGAUCCAAUCUUUUAGUGAACUCACAUAACUCAUGUAUUCCUCGUGUUGUGUGAUCCUAAGAUAUUUCAGUCAAAAAGGGUUAGCAACACAUAAUCUCUAUAGAAAAACAAACUGUGGGCUAGGAAUUUCUACUUACUUGAGUAUAUGCAAGGCGUCCAAGCUUUGUCUCCUGCAGAAGAGUAAGAGAUUAUUCGAACUGGUUGUAUUGAACACAAAGACACAAGUAUGUCCAGUGCAAGCCUGAAAGGUUACAGGUACUACUCCACUACUUACCAGAGUGCGGACAACAUGGUGAACUGAUUGUAUUUCCUCCUGAAAGGCACUUAGAUCUCCAUGUAUCACUGUAACCUGUGAAAUACGUAUUAUUUUUGCAUCAGUAUCUUUUAAAAUACACUAAAGGCUGGAAACAACAAAUAUGCGGGCAAGUUCCUCAAACCUCUUUCCCUGUGGCUUCAAUAAUUUCGUGGCAUUCAUCUAGACUACAAUCGACUCGGUCGAUCCUUCCAGCCAAAUGCUUUUUUGAAGCCUGAUAUCAGCAGAAUGAAAACAAAUAUAGUUUUCGUUAAAACAAAAUAUAGUCAGCACAAAUGAAGCUAACAUAUAAAACAAUGUUAGAAAUAUAUGAGACCUAUCCAAACAUCAUUUCCGUUUGUGUGCUUUUUUCCUCUUCUGAAUGCAUACAAGCACCAAGUAGAAUUAUAAAAAAAAAAACUAUGUGCAGAUACAUAAACCGUAAAUGUGCGUCUACAUGAUGUGGCAUAACAAAAACAGGUCAGCAACAAUGUAAGAAAAAUGUUUAGCCAUAUAAUAAAAAAAUGGAUGUACAAAAUUGAAUGUGUUUAGCGGUUUUAACUGAGCAACCUCUGACGUGGUGUAUUUCAAACUUUAAUGUACCAGUUCUAAUAGAGAUUGGCAUAGUGCAAGUCCUAAACUUCAUCUACUCCCUCCGAUUCAUAUUACUUGUCUUAGAUUUGUCCAGAUAUGGAUGUAUCUAAAAAGUGUCUGGAUACAUCCGUAUCUAGACAAAUCUAAGACAAGUAAUAUGGAUCGGAGGGAGUAAUAGAGAUUGGCAUAGUGCAAGUCCUAAACUUCAUCAAGACGUCACAGACUGCAUACUUAGGUGAAUCUUAUAAUACAACUUUACUAUAAUACUAAUACAUUUGUAGUGACAGCACUAUGGCAUCCUUGCACCCGUCAACUGGAAAUGUCAUGCAGUUUGAUAACAACAUUCCAGUGAAUAUAGGAAGAAGAAACUUACAUGAACACUUUCUGAAACCUGAUCCAAUUGUUUACCAACUACGUUGCAGGCAUCAGCCAAGCCACGCUUGGUGACAAACAUCAUAUCAGAAAUUUUCCAUCCCUGUAAAUUAGCGAGUUAGCUUCAAGAGAAGUGCCAAUGGUGAACUUCAAACAUCAGAGUAGGAACAGGAUGAGCUCAGGUUGCAAUCUCAGACCACUACACUAUAAGAAUCUAAAAUGACAAGAAAGAAAAGUAGCCCUUGUAGGACAGUGUAACAUAACUUUAUUGUGUAAUUUGUUAACAUAUAUUAUCCUUGCACCAAGUUGACAGGGAGAUAAAUGUUUACCUUCCAUCUUAUGUAUAAAUAGCCAAUGGCUCCAACAGCAAUAAAAGUUAAACCAUAAGCACCAGCACCUGCAAGAGAAUGGUUUUGCUUCAGCCGAUAUAAAAAAAAAAUAUGAUACCAAUUCAAUUCGGUUCCUUGCAAGUUAAAUUGAAGUGACAAACAGCACAUAAUGAGUAUAUUCUCUGAUAGCUCUGGUUCACAUAGGUGGAGGCUACAUGGCACAUCGCAUAGAAGGCGAAGAAGACAUGGUUACUUGAGCCACGGACACACGUGAUUUGGGUAUGAAAGAGAGGAAGCAGGCAGCAAACCUGGUCCGCCAUUGACGUUGAUAAUCUGCGGGCAUUGGGCCUCACGGGACAAUGCUUGGAGCUGAUCCCUGAGAUAGUUGACCUGAAACGCGAGGUCGAUCGACCGGUCAGGUUAGCGUCUGUGUUGCAUACAGCAAGCAAGCAUAUUUGGUGAUAUUAUGAUAAAGAGGCGGAUGAAGAAGACCUGAGACAACAAGAGGUCGUUCUGCGGCGAGGUGUUGGACGAGCCUUCCUUCUUGUCCUGCUUCAUGAACUGGAUGGCACAAAGAGGGGAGGGGGUGAGAUGGUGAAUAUAACAGAACAGAACAGAACAGAACGGAACGGGGGAUCCUCAUCCAAUCAACACAGGCAAUGGCCAUGGAUGGAUGGAUGAAUACGAUUACGGCACCUUGAAGGAGAAGGAGAGCACGUCCCUGAGGUCCGGAAGCUUGCUGCCGUCUCCGCCGGUGACCAUGGUUCCGAUGAUCCCUGCAGGCAUACAUACAAGCAGACACCACUCCGUCAGCUGCCUGCCUAGCUUAGCAACACGGGGAGCGCGCGGGCGCGAGCGAGCGGAAUCGGCACGGAGCAAUCGGCUCACGGGGCGUCACCGGGAGGGAGGGGGCGGGGAUUCGCGGGAAGCUAAAUCGAUGCGGCCCGGCACGCGGGACGGGGAAGGGGGAACAAUCGAUGGCGCGGGGGGUGGAGGAGAGGGGACGGGGGAAGGAUGGGGGGCGGGGUGACCUGAGCCGAUGACGAUGGCGAUCUUGCCGAGCACCAUGGCGGCGGGAUCGAGGCGCCGGCCGGGUGGCUGGCGGGUAGGAGGGCCACGGCGACGACGAGGACCAGGAAGAAGCUAGGGUUAUUCGGGGUCGCUCCACUCCGCCUUCCGUCCUCCCCCUCUCUCUCUCUUGUUUUAUUUUUAUUUUUGUUUUGGGUUUUGUUUUUGUCUUUCUUUCUUUCGCAAGGGGAGAAGAGGGGUGGAGAUGCUGCGGGAGGGGAGAUUCGAAGCCAGACGACGCGCUCGCGCGGGCCGGGCUGGGCCGGGCCUGGGGGGAAAGGAUGGGUCGCCAAAUGGUCACCUUGGAUCGAAUGGACGGAUGGGCCCAAAUAAAAUAAAAUCAUGCGCUCAAACAAAAAUCGUUAACCGAGUAUUGCAGUUCUUGGCCAGUAUGGUGAACAGUAAAAUCAGGAAAAAAAUAAAAAGUAACUCUUAAAAAAUCUGUUUUUUGCGAUAAACGUUGAUAAAUUUUUACUAACAUAUAAAUUUUGGUGAUGAAAAAAAUAUCUGUCGAGUUCUGGGAAAAAAAACCCAAUAGGGCAUUUUUUUAGGCAUUUGGGAAACAUCAAAAAACAAUUGACCAGACCUCCAUGAAUGUUUUCUCAUCACUAAUCUUUGCACAUGGUAAAAUAUUCAACAAUGUUUGUCACAAAAAAUAUUUUUUUAUUAGGUUUCCCUUUUUUAAAAAUUAACUAUUCACAAGGGUGAAUAUGCACCCGAAAGCAGAACAUCACUUCCCCUUCUUUGCUUCUUUUUUUAAACAAACCUACACAUAUACAGUACUGCUACUCCGAUCUGAUUUAUUCGCUUUUAAUCCAUAAAAAAGAAUCAUAGCAAGUGUUAGUGUCGAAAGAAACUCCUACCAAGAUUAUAUAUGGAUGUGCAGGAAGGUGUUGCCGCCCUGAGGCGGCGCUCCAACCCGCAACCUAGCUCGAAUCUCAUAUGGAAAUGCCCGGUUCCACCUAAAGUUCCAAUUAAGUGAAAAGUUCCUUCAAGUGCCCCCGACACACAAUAGAAUUUAUCUAACUCGUGUGAUCUAUGUGGUCUAGAGAGCAAGAACACCUUCUUUCAUGCUUUCAUUGGACGGCCUCUGGCCCGCACACUUUGGCAGGCCAUGUGGAGUUUGGGAUCUCCCGAACACUUGAGCUUUUUCAUGCUAAAUGUGUGGGAAUGGAUUUUCCACGCCUAGCAUGAAUCGAAUAGUGAUAUGGUGCAUGAGAAGCCCACCCCUUCAAUUAUAGGAUCGAGAAGAUUCCUUGCGAGCUACUCCCUCCGUUCCAAAAUACUUGUGGUUUUAGUUCAAUUACUCAACUCGCUCCUCCCCAUUCGGCAGCAUCCGGAUGCUGGCAUUGCGAAGGGCAAGCAUGUGGUCUCUUAUUCGCAAGAUACAAUUCCAGAACGACACUGUAUGGAUGGGUGGCACAAGGUGUGAUCAAAAUGGUGUUCUUCGCGCAAGGCGAGCGUGAAAGUGAAUGGCGGACAGAGUGCUCCGUGUGUAUUGGUUCCGUGGUGCAGGUAUUUCAUCCAAUGACAACUUGUCAUCGGGUUUUGGGUGCGUCGUGUAGAAAGAAUAUUUUCCAUGAUAAUCAAAGAAUGAAAGUAUGGCUUAUUUAUUUUCGGUAUUGUUACCAGUUGAUGUUCGUUGUGAAGGGGGUGGCAAGCGAACCCUCCUGAAGAGAUAAAACAAUUGCCUUCUUGGGUAGUACUUUAUAUUCUAAAAUGUUGUUUACUUAUCCAAUGAUAUGGAGUAAAAAUUAGGAAUCCGCUUAUGUAAUAAAGCCGAUCCACUUAGAGGGUGUUUGUUUCAGGGACUUAUUGAUUUAGGGACUUAAAAAAGUCCCUAUAAGUCCCAUCUAAACCAAACAGGAGGGACUUAUAGGGACUUAAAGUGGGCAUUUGGGACUUAUGAAAUAAGACUCUCAAGAAGGGACUUAUAGGGACUUAUAGUUGUAAUAUGGUCUUCUAGUCCAUGUUAAGUGCCAGGAACCAAACAGAUAGGGACUUUUUAGGGAUUUGGGACUUAUAAGUUGGGACUAAAAAAAAUCCUAGGACUUAUGAACCAAACAGGGCCUUAGGUAUUAGGACCGCUUUGCCGGUUGAUUCUAGAAACUAAUUUGUAUAGAGGCGUGAGCGCUCAAUCCCAUUGAAUAUGAUCCCCUAGUCAUGGACAGAGAUGUCCAAGGAGCUUCCUGAACUAAUCAUGGAAAGAGAUGUUGCCGUGAUGGGAAUAUGGUGAGUAACGGCUUGCCACAGAGCAAGCUAGAACCGCUGUUUGGCUAGCAUCACUCUUUACAUAUCAAGAGAUUAAUGAACACUAUAAUUUGAGUACACAAACCCGAUUAUUUUCCUCAAAACCGUUGGUGAUUUGUUACGCACGGCACAAAGAACAAUUUCCGCAUUGCAAAAAGUACAUGUAUUCCUUCUUCAGGUUGUUAACUUUGAAGCUUAUAGACAAAAAUAUCAAUGCCUACAGUACCAAAUAAUUAUCACUAUUCUCCAUGAAAUAUACCUUUAUAAUUUAUAUAUUAGUAUUGUAAAUCUUUAUAUAUUUAACACUGGCAACAUUUGACUUUUGAAAAACUAUACACCUUAGGAAGCGUUUCAGUUUGAGCGACAAUCCAAGGAGAAAGUUUCUCCAAAGAAAACUAAUAUUGACAUCCUCCUAAUUUUGUGCAAAGAGAAACAAGUUUUUCUUUUUAGUUUCUCCAAAGAAAACUAAUAUUGACCUCCUCCUAAUUUUGUGCAAGGAGAAACAAGCUUUUCUUUGUAGUUUCUCCAAAGAAAACUAAUAUUGACCUCCUCCUAAUUUUGUGCAAGGAGAAACAAGCUUUCUUUGUAGUUUCUCCAAAGAAAACUAAUAUUGACCUCUUCCUAAUUUUGUGCAAGAGAAAACACAAUCACAAAAGGGACGGGCUAAUGGCAUUGAUUUGGCAGGAGUAUGUGUUAAGUUUAUAAAGUUUGAAACAAAAGGCGAAAAUGAGAAACACAAUCACAAAAGGUUUUGUAAUGACAAAGCUAAUAUGCACUGUAAAUUGAAACGAGUGAAUAGCAAAAAACUACCAUAUUACGGGCUAUCGUUCCAAAAAACUACCGCUUUUUUAAAUUUUCCAAAAAACUACCACAAAAGUGGUGGGAUGUUCCAAAAAACCCAAGUGCCCGAACGGUUACGUUUUAAGUGGGGUUAUGACACAUGGGGCCCGCCCGUCAGGGUUUUGUCGGCCACAGGGCUCACGACGCGCGGGUGACGGCCGUUAGGGUGCACGAGCCGUCCCGACCAGGUUUCAAUGCUCCAACCCUAAAUUUGACCUCUUUGGGGUGGCCACUUGUCGACCAGCCCUAAAGUGAUCAAAUAUGGCCACUUUGGGUGCCUACUUGUCGACCAACCCUCAAGUGGCCAAAUAUGGCCACUUUGGGGGGCAACUUGUCGACCAAACCCUAAAGUGGCCAAAUUUGGUCACUUUGGGGGGCAACUUGUCGACCAACCCUAAAGUGGCCAAAUUUGGUCACUUUGGGGGCAACUUGUCGACCAAACCCUAAAGUGGCCAAUUUUGGUCACUUUGGGGGGCAACUAGUCGACCAACCCUCAAGUGGCCAAUAUGGCCUCUUUGAGUGGCCACUUGUCGACCAACCCUCAAGUGGCCAAAUUUGACCUCUUUGGGGUGGCCACUUGUCGACCAACCCUCAAGUGGCCAAAUAUGGCCACUUUGGGAGGCAACUUGUCGACCAAACCCUAAAGUGGCCAAAUUUGGUCACUUUGGGGGGCAACUUGUCGACCAACCCUCAAGUGGCCAAAUAUGGCCUCUUUGAGUGGCAACUUGUCGACCAACCCUCAAGUGGCCAUUUGGGUGCCUACUUGUCGACCAAACACUAAAGUGGCCAAAAUUGGACCAAAGCCUAACAUAUCUAACCUUAAACAUCAAGAUUUGGCCAUCUAGGGACCAAACCCUAACAGAUCAGAACUAAAACAUCAAGAUUUGGUUAUCUCAAACCAGAAUAUAUCUAACCUAAAACAUGAAGAUUUGGCCAUCUAGGGACCAGACCCUAACAGAUCAAAACUAAAACAUCAAAGAUUUGCAACUUUGACCAAACCAGAACAUAUCUAACCUUGAACAUCAAGAUCACCAUAUCAAAUCAUUCAUACACACAAAUAUAGAUAAAAUAUUCACUCAUAAAUUGCAUCAUAGACAGAUUGAUUCGUCACAUAGAUAGAUCAUUCAACAUUUUUCUUUCAAUAUCUUCAUACAUUGCAUCAUAUACAACUUGAUUCAUCACAUACAUAGCUCAUUCAACAUUAUUCUUACACCAACUUCAAACAUCACAUAGAUAGAAAGACAGAUCUAGGAACACAGCAACAUCAAAACAACAUCAUGGGUAUAGAAUCCUAGUCCACCUCUGCCUAGUGACCUAAAUGGAUGGAAGUUUGCCCUCCUCCUUGCCCAGUAGAUGAUAUCAUCAUCACUAGGGUUGGAGCCAGGGGAAGGCCUCCAGGAACUGCUCUAUGUCCUUGCGGUUGCGUGCUGCAAGGAUCAUCUCAGCAAGCUGCCUUCUCACCCUCCUUCUUGCAUCUCUGCGCCUGACUCCCCUGGGCACCUCUUCUCCCCUGGGCACCUCUUCUUCUCCAUCUAUGACCUCUCCAGGAUCCAUUUCUCCCUGGGCUUCUAGGGUUUCUUUGGCGACUGGGGGGUGGAGAAGGGUGGGGGGGAUUGACUGCGGUUUCUGCCAAGGGGUGGGUUUUAUAGACUAGUCUUGGUUGGUGGUAGGUUGGCACAAGAGUAAUAAACCAGCCCAGUUUAGGCCCACAUUGUGUACAUAAUGGUUUUAGGCCCAAAAAAACUAGUACAGGAUUGCUAGUUUCAAGAAAACAACUUAAAGAAAUAAAACAGUUCUUGUAACACCCUGAGAAUCAUGCUACAGUAACCCCCUGUGAUUAAGCUAAUCAUGUUGCUAAACAGGGCUUGAUCACAUUUGAACCACACCCUUGUCAAACUCCUAGUUCAAACUUCAAUUAAAUUUAAAAAUGGAAAAUAAAAGUUUUCAAAAAUUCAAACAAAAAUGUUCAGUGGGUGCUAAAUAAUACACUGGUAAUUAUGGUGGAGGAAACACAUUUUUAUAAAAUACCUAAAUACUUUUAAAAGAAAUAAAACAGAAAAGAAAAUAAACAAAUAAAAAGAAAACAGAAAACAGAUCACAGAAAGAAAAAAAAGGAAAAAGGAAAAGCCCUUUCCCCCCCACUGGACCCGUGGCCCGUCUGGACCGAACCCCGGCCCAAACUGGGCCGCCACCCGCGCCCCGACCCCGGCCCAGCCCACCUCUCCUCCCUCGCCCCUUCCCUAUUCCCCCGACCGGGUCGGAACAGGGGCGCGCUGCCGCCCGACCACCUCGCCGGCACCGACGCCGGAGGGGAUAAGGUCGCCAGCCCCGCGCCUCCUCGGGCCUCUCUCCCACUCACCCCCGCUCUCCCUCUCGGCCCCCGCGCCUCCAUCUCCCCUCCCCCGGAUCCGCGCCGCUCCCCUCUUCCCCACGCCCGACGCGCUCGCCGCCGUUCCCGUCGUUCACGCGGCCACCGUGCCCCAAUCGCCACCUCGCCGUGUCGUACGACGUCGCCACCCUCGACUACACCCCCUCCGCCUCUCCGUCGAAGCUCGGAGCCACUACAACGGCCUCCCCGAGCUCGCCUUCAACUUCGGACGCCGGCGACCCCCUUCUUCCCCGGCGACGACCUGCUGCUACUAAGCCACCCACGGGCCUUUCUUGCGCCGCGCGGUGAGCUCCUCUACCUCCUCCCCCUCUCCUCUAGCUCGCCCGCGCUCCGUAGCUGCUUCCCCACGCGCGCCCGAACGCCGCGCCGCGGAGCUCGCCGCCGGCGGGUCUCCGGUGACCAAAUGGUCACGGGGUCAAGCCCGUUGCACUCCCCGCCGUUUGUAGAUGCCCCCCAGCCCCUCCGCUUUCUCGAUAGCUCGCCGUAGCUGUGUUUCCGUCGGGCACCCGUAGCUCCUCGCCGCCGGCGAGCUCGUAGCGGUCGUCCCCGGCCGUUCCAGCCCCUCCGACCACCGCCGUUGGACGCGCGACGCCGAGCCGCGUCGAACGCGCCCAGCCACGCCCCCGGAGACCCCCCGUACGCGAAACCCGUACCCCUCCCGAGCCGCGCCGCCGUGCGUUUGGUCGCCGGCGUUACUCCGGCGCCGGCCGCCGACGUGGCCGGCCUGGGGCCACCCCCAGUGCCCCUGCCAGUGGCCCCCACGGGCCCCAGUUGACUGGGUUGACCCAGUCAACUGCUGACUGGGCAGGCCCAGUCACUGACAUGCGGACCCCGCCGCAAAAAUAUAAAAAAAAGAAAAGAAAAGGAAAAUGUUUUAUAAAUAAAAAUAAUUAGUUUAAAUAAUCUCUCACUGACAGGUGGGCCCAGUAGUUAAUUAACUAAAAAACUAAUUAGUUAAUCCUCUGUUAACCCACUGUCUAUGACAGGUGGGUCCCCCGUGUCAGUUUGACCAGUCAACCCGGACUGUUGACCGCUGACGUCACUCAUACGUCAUGCUGACGUCAUAUCCCUUUUUCUGUUAAUUAAAUAAUUCCAGAAAUUCAAAUAAACUUUGAAAAUUCAUAUCUUUUAAACCGUAACUCGGAUGAAAAUGUUUUCUAUAUGAAAGUUGCUCAGAACGACGAGACGAAUCCGAAUACGCAGUCCGUUCAUCCACCACACCUCCCUAACCUAUCAAACUAGCAACUUUCCCCCUCCGGUCCGUCUGUCCGAAAGCGCGAAACAUCGGGAAUACCACCCGGAUGUUCCCCCCCUUCACCGGUACCUCCUACUGUCGCGUUAGGACACCCCUAGCACCGCUCAUUGACAUGUCACGCAUCGUCAUGCUUAUGUUUGCAUUGUAUUUACUGUUUCUUCCCCCUCUUCUCUCCGGUAGACUACGAGACCGACACUGCUGCUGCCCAGUUCGACUACGGAGUCGACGACCCCUCCUACUUGCCAGAGCAACCAGGCAAGCCCCCCCCUUGAUCACCAGAUAUCGCCUAUUCUUCUCUAUACUGCUUGCAUUAGAGUAGUGUAGCAUGUUACUACUUUUCGAUAUCCUAUCCUGAUGCAUAGCCUAUCCUUUCUACUACUGUUGUUACCUUUACCUGCAAUCCUACAUGCUUAGUCUAGGAUGCUAGAUUUCCAUCAGUGGCCCUACAUUCUUGCCCGUCUGCUGUGCUAUACUAUCGGGCCGCGAUCACCUGGGCGGUGAUCACGGGCAUAUACUUAUAUACUAUAUACAUGACACAUGUGAUGACUAAAGUCGGGUCGGCUCGUAGGAGUACCCGCAAGUGGAUCUUUGUGGCGGAGCGACAGGGCAGGUUGAGACCGCCUAGGUGAGAGGUGGGCCUGGCCCUGGUCGGCGUUUGCGGAUACUUAACACGCUUAACGAGAUCUUGGUAUUUGAUCUGAGUCUGGCCAUUUGGUCUAUACGCACUAACCAUCUACGCGGGAGUAGUUAUGGGUAUCCCGGCGUCGUGGUAUCAGCCGAAGCCUUCUUGACGUCAGCGACUGAGUGGCGCGCGCCGGAUUGGACUGGAACGCCACUAGGCUAGGUCUGCUUCCGGCCACGUACGCAACGUGCAGGUGUGCAUAGGGCGAUGGGCCCAGACCCCUGCGCGCAUAGGGUUAGACCGGCGUGCUGACCUCUCUGUUGUGCUUAGGUGGGGCUGCGACGCGUUGAUCUUACGAGGCCGGGCAUGACCCAGAAAAGUGUGUCCGGCCAAUUGGGGUCGAGCGUGUUGGGUUAUGUGGUGCACCCCUGCAGGGAAGUUUAUCUAUUCGAAUAGCCGUGUCCCUCGGUAAAAGGACGACCCGGAGUUGUACCUUGAGCUUAUGACAACUAGAACUGGAUACUGAAUAAAAUACACCCUUCCAAGUGCCAGAUACAACCCGGUGAUCGCUCUCUAACAGGGCGACGAGGAGGGGAUCGCCGGGUAGGAUUAUGCUAUGCGAUGCUACUUGGAGGACUUCAAUCUACUCUCUUCUAUAUGCUGCAAGAUGGAGAUGUCCAGAAGCGUAGUCUUCGACAGGACUAGCUAUCCCCCUCUUAUUCUGGCAUUCUGCAGUUCAGUCCACUGAUAUGCCCCUUUACACAUAUACCCAUGCAUAUGUAGUAUAGCUCCUUACUUGCGAGUACUUUGGAUGAGUACUCACGGUUGCUUUUCUCCCUCUUUUCCCCUUUCUAUACCGGAUUGUCGCAAUCAGAUGUUGGAGUUCAGGAGCCAGACGCCACCGUCGACGACGACACCUACGACACUGGAGGUGCCUACUACUACGUGCAGGCUGCUGACGACGACCAGGAGUAGUUAGGAGGUCCCAGGCAGGAGGCCUUGCCUUUUCGAUCGUUGCUACUUUUGUGUUAGCCUUCUUAAGGCAAACUUGUUUAACUUAUGUCUGUACUCAGAUAUUGUUGCUUCCGCUGACUCGUCUAUGAUCGAGCACUUGUAUUCGAGCCCUCGAGGCCCCUGGCUUGUAUUAUGAUGCGUGUAUGACAUAUUUAUGUUGUAGAGUUGUGUUGUGAUAUCUUCCCGUGAGUCCCUGAUCGUGAUCGUACACAUUUGCGUGUAUGAUUAGUGUAUGGUCAAAUCGGGGGCGUCACAGUUCUUCACUGCAUUACUUAAGAUAGAUAGGUUAUUAACAGUACAAUAACAUAAGCCAGACUUAGCAAAGGUUCUGAAAGACUACUACCACUCCAGUUACCAUAACUUAAACAGUUCAUAUAGGACUGCACAAAAUAUACUCCUACCAUCGUCUUGCAAAGGCCUGUUAUAUGUGUAGGCCACCUUACUUACUUAACCACCAUUGUCCAAAUCUUCAAGCCUCUAGUAUGGCCUUGAUUUUCUCAAGCUUUUCCUUGCUCCCAUGGCCAACAUUCAGCAGAUCAGCAACUACUUUCUCAAGCUCUUUCUUCUCUUGUGCAAUAAGAUCCCUGUCCACCUUUAUCUCUUUCAUAGCCUUCCUGGUGUUGUGAAUUAUGUCUGCCUGGGCCUGAAGGAUACACUUCUGUUCUUUUGCUAGCCUUAGCCUCUCCAUCUUCAUCUCCAGCUCAAGCUCUUCCUUCUUCUUCUCAUACAUCUCAGCAUCCAUUGCUUUCUGGUAGUCAAUCUUGCCAACACCAUCCUGCCAGUCAAACAUCUUGCUAACAUCAUCAACCAUUUUAUGAUACUUAGUGCAGAGAUGAUCAUAGUCCUUCUUCAACUUGGCAACCUCAUCCUCAUAUGCAUGCUUGUCUUGAAUCCUUCCAAGGUUUUGCUCAUGAAACAUUUCCCACAGCUUGAUGAGGCAGUUCUUAAGUACAUCAGGCCAGGCAGGAUCAACCCACUGAACUACACCACAAUUCACACCUCCCUGUAGUUUCAUCAGACAACAUAUACUUCAGAAAAUGCAUAAAUUCAGUUCCAACUUCAAUUCAAAUAGGGUAUUGCUAGACAAGGAGGAGAUGUAACCAUAAAUUGAGUACUAAAUUUAGUUCAAACAGAGUUAAUGUACAAAUUCAAAAAUAUAUGCAAUUCAAUACAGCAUAACAAAAACCAACACUUAGCAUAACUCAAUCACUUACUUUCUGCAAACUAAAAAACACCUACACAUUAACUGAAUCCACCCAGCAUAACUGAAUCCACUAGGCAUAACUGAUAACCAGAAAGCUUAAAUGAAUCGCUGAAUUCAUAUAUCAAGUACAAAACCACUCUCUGCAAAUAAGAACAUUGACUUCAGAUAACAAUGAGCUACUGGUUUACUAAAUUACUCACUUGAACAGGGCAUCCAUACAACCUCCUCCCAGUGUUAGCACCUUCAAAAGCAACACACUUCCUAGGCUUCAUCUGGUGCAGAGUGCAGUUGGCAACUUCCUCCAUGGGAGCACCACACCAGAGUGGCUCAGGGAUGGUGUCAGGUGUGUCCUACAUGCAGUACAAGGUAGAUCAGAACCAAUGCAUCAAAUAGUUCUAUUUGAGUCAAGCUUUGCCUUGCUCAAGGUCAGAUGUACAAGGUAGAUCAGAUCAGACAUCACAGUGUCAUCCAUAGGCUAGAGCAAAACUAACAGUUAACCAAACCAAACGAAUCCAUUCGUACCUAUAUGCAGCUCAUCAACCCAGCCGGCCCAGAUCGAUUCAACCCUAACCCUAACCCUAGAUAGUGACAGAGAGGAGGAGGAAGAGGCUUACAAAGUACUCCAUGUCCAUCAGGUUGCCCCCCAUGUUGUCGUCGUCGGAGCUCUCAUCCCCAUCAUUCCAAGAAGGCAUCCUGGCCGGCGACGAGGAAGGGAGGUGGUCGACGACGAUGGCGAGCUCGGGCAGGGGAAACAGAGCGAGGGGGGAGUGGAGAGUGAGAGUGAGUGAGAGCGAGGGAGACAGAGUGAGGGCCGAAUCCGUCUUGACCUGGUUGGGACGGCUCGUGCGCCCUAACGGCCGUCACCCGCACGCCGUGAGCCAUGUGGCCGACAAAACCCUGACGGGCGGGCCCCGCGUGUCAUAACCCCACUUAAAACGUAACCGUUCGGCCACUCGGGUUUUUUAGAACAGCCCACCACUUUUGUGGUAGUUUUUUGGAAAAGUAAAAAAAGAGGUAAUUUUUUGGAACGAUAGCCCGUAAUGUGGUAGUUUUUUGCUAUUCACUCAACUUGAAACAGAGAGAGUAUAACAGGUAUAGGCAGUCAGCCAAAGUUGGUAAUGACAACUACGACAGAGGACAAGUAUGAAAUAGUAGCAUGCAUUACACUACUGCAAAGUGAAAUAAGCAUUCCCGGAACUAGAUAAGACAUAUAAUGACAGAACACAACAACACAUGUGCUCGGGUGCAUAUAUGCACCAGGGGAAAUCAGAAAGAAUAGAAAAUAAAUUUUUUAAAAACUGAUUUUUUUUGCGAUAAAUGUUGAUAAAUUUUUACUAACAUGUCAAUUUUGGUGAUGAAAAAAUAUCUGUCGAGGUCUGGGCAAAAGAACCCAAAAUGGCAGUUUUUUUAGGCAUUUGGGAAACAUCGAAAAACAAUUGGCCAGACCUCCAUGAACGUUUUCUUUUUUUUUUUUGAAAAAUACCCGGGGGGGGGGAGCUCCCCCACCUGAAUAUAUUUCUCAUUUUUGUAACCCAACGUCUGUCCGAUUACAAAGGGGAAUUACAUAAGCACGUGUAAGCGUGAUAAGAAAUAGGAACGCCAUGAGGAGGCGGCCUGCUGAUGCGCCGGCUUCUUCAUCCGGUGCAUCCAGAGCAUAAGGUCAUCAAUGAUUCGCUUGAGGGUGAAGAUGCUGUGGUGGUUCUGUUGCUUGAAAGUCAUGGCGUUUUUGGAGUCCCACAUUUUCCAUAGGAUGAUGAGGAGGAUGGAGUGCCAAAUUAGCGCGUCAAGCUGGUUGGGGAGGCGGCAGUCCCAAAGGUUGUCGAUGGAGUUGGGUGGUGAUAGACCGAUUCGCUGCCAUAUUCUCUGAGCGAGGGGGCAGUCUAGGAAGAUAUGUGAGGCGGUCUCCCCGUCGAACCCACAACGGGGACCUAGCGCGUCUGGCACGAUGUGCUUGCGGAUAAGGUUGCUUUUGGAGUUGAGUCUUCCACGAAACAGAAGCCAUGCAAAGAUUUUCACACGGUUUGGAACGCAUGAAGACCAAAUUGCAAUGGCAUGAGCGUCGUCAUCAGUGUCGGCCAUGACCAGCUGAUAGGCGGCCCGUGUAGAGAAACUGAGGCCACCGUUUAGGUAGCGCUCGUCCGGUCCCGGCGACACCUGGAAGUCCUGCAGGAGAGACAACAAAGAGCACAACUCGGAAGCGGCAUUAGAUGUUAGGCGGUUCCUUAGGAUUGAUUCUAGACCGUGGUUCAUAACAGCAGCCACACGAGCGAGGGGGGUGGUGGUAUGUGAGUAGAGGCAGGGGAAGAGAGUAGCGAGUGAUUGUUGGUGUAACCAAAUAUCUAGCCAAAAAUAGGUGUUUGUUCCAGACUUUGUGAUGACGAAGGAGAUGGUGUGUAGAGCUGGUAGUUGGUGGUUUAUGGUUUGGCAGAGGAAGGAGUGGCUAUUUUGUGGAGCGAUGAGAGCAUUUGGGUGUUGAAGGUCGAUCCAAUCUUGUCACGGAGUUUGGUCCGGUAGCAGAGCUUUUACGGCAAAUUUCAUUAAUAGACAGUUAUUCUGAACAUGAAAAUUUUUUAGCCCUAGACCACCUAGCUUUUUAGGCUUACAAACAUUUUUCCAGGCAACUAAGCAUUGAGCACCGGUGCAAGUUUCCUCUACGGCCCAAAAAAAGCGCGACGUAUAGAGUCUAGGGUUUUCAGCACGCUUUUUGGGAUGAGAAAGACUGACAUAAAAUAGACUAAGAUGGAGUCAAGGACAGCAGACAGAAGGAUGAGCCGGUCGCCCUUGGAUAGGAUUUUUGCUCGCCAACCUGAUAAGAAUUGUCGGCAUCGUUCGAUAAUGGGUAGAAAGGCGUUUGGGGGUAGACGGGUCGGUGCAAGGGGUAGGCCUAGGUAAAUUUGUGGAAAGGUUGAGGUUGUGCAUUGCAAAGUGGUAGCAAUGGAGUCCCUUUUUAUUAGUAAUCUUUGCACGUGGUAAAACAUUCAACAAUGUUUGUCACAAAAAAAAUAGUUUUUUAUUAGGUUUUCCUUUUUUAAAAUUUACUGUUCGCACAAGUGCAUAUGCGCCCGAAAGCAGAACAUCACUUCCCCUUCUUUGCUUCUUUUUUUUUAUAAAAACGAACCUACACAUAUGCAGUACUGCUACUCCGAUCUGAUUUAUUCGCUUUUAAUCCAUAAAAUAAAAUCAUAGCAAGUGUUACUGUCGAACUUAUAUAUGGAUGUGCAGCAAGGUGUUGCCGCCCCGAGGCGGUGCUCCGACAACCCGCAACAUGGCUCGGAUCUCAUAUGGCAAUGCCCAGUUCCACCUAAAGUUCAAAUUGAGUGGAAAGUUGCUUCAAGUGCCCCCGACACACAAUAGAAUUUGUGCAUGGCGCGGGGUGGAUACUAAUCUAACUCGCGUGAUCUAUGUGGUCUGGAGAGCAAGAACACCUUCUUUCAUGCUUUCAUUGGAUGGCCUCAUGCCCGCACACUUUGGCGGGCUACGUGAAGUUUGGGAUCUCCCGAACACUUCAGCGUUUUCAUUCUAAAUGUGUGGGAAUGCAUUUUCCACGCCUAGCAUGAAUCGAAUAGUGGUAUGGCAGGUGCGCAUGUGCAUAGUGAACUUACGCAUGAGAAGCCCACCCCCUUCAGUUGAAGGAUCGAGAAGAUUCCUUGCGAGCUACUCCCUCCGUUCCAAAAUAGUUGGCAUGGUUUUAGUUCAAUUACUCAACUCACUCCUCCUCAUUCAACGGCAUCCAAAUGCCGGCAUUGCGAAGAGCAAGCAUGUGGUCUCUUAUUCGCAAGAUACAGCUCCAGAAUGACACUGUGUGGAUGGGCGCCACAAGGUGUGACCCAAAUGGUGUUCUUCGGGCAAGGCAGGCAUGGAAAUGGAUUUUUUUUUUUGAACUAUCACUUUAUUUAUAGCAAUUUCGGAAACUAUAGCACCCAAUGCCAAAAAAUCAAAACUAUAACCCCGUCGACCUCGUGUGGGCCGAAGAGGGGGUUUUCGGCCAGGAUUUGGCCGAAAAGGUCUUUUCGGCCGUGCCUGGGCCGAAGACGUGCGUACCUGGGCCGAAAAGUCCUUUUUGUCAGCGGUAGGCCGAAAAAUCCUUUUUGGUCACCAGUAGGCCGAAAAGUCCCUGAAGCCCACCUUUUCACGUGAACGAGUGGCCGAAGCUGCAUGGCUCCUCUCUUCGGCUUAUGUUAGGCCGAAAAGGUUUUUUUUUACUUGUGAAUGCUGUGUAACCAUUGCCAUCUUAGACAUUGAAAAAAAAAUCGCGCUACCCUUUCCGUCAAUAUUUUCUCGCCAACUCUUUCCCUCCAUAUGUCCCCACCAACCCUGCGAGAGCACGUCUCAUGGUUGAGGCGUCUUGAUGACAAGCUACGCGGGAUUUACGCAGCUGUUACGUGUAGACGAUCUUCGGAUGUUGCAGUUCCUCCUCCAGCACAUCGUCCGCCACAUCCCUUUCUACAACAUUCUGAACCACGACCCUCUGUGCACCAUUCAGAACCACAACCCUCUGUGCACCGUUCAGAACCUCAUCCUUCACAGCCAGGGAGCUCUUCCUGGCAUCAGCCACCUCCUUCACAACCAGGGAGCGCUUACUGGCAUCAGCAGAUGGAACUAGGUAACACUACUUACUACAUUCUUUUCAACAUUGUAGUAACCGUUCAUGCAUUAUGUGUAGUCACCGAUGCUUAGUGGUGGUGCUUCGUUCAUGCAUUGUUCAUGCAUUUGUAUCAAUUUUACAUGUUUUACUUUACCGCAGGCGGCAACCAGUCGCAACCGUUCAUGCAUUCAGUGCAGUCACCGAUGCUUAGUGGUGGUGCUUCGUUCUUAGAGGGCGACGGGGAUAAUGAUGACCAAGAUGCAAACACUUAUGACUUCUCGCAUACAGUGUUUCACACUCAACCACCACCACCAUCGCAGGAGACACAGACAGUGAUAGACGAGGUUAUCUAUGGUCGUGGUUAUCGUGAGCAUCGUGCACCGCCUCGGCGCUUAUCGCCUUCCGGUCCUCACCCGAGGAAGACCCAGAUUCGUCGUCGCCCCCCAGAUACGUGCUCUCGUAGGGUUGGCGGGAACAUAUGGAGGGAAAGAGUUGGCGAGAAAAUAUUGACAGAAAGGGUUGCGCGAAAAUAUAUUUUUUCAAUGUCUAAGAUGGGCAAUGGUUGCACAGCAUUCAUAAGUAAAAAAACUUUUUCGGCCUAACAUAAGCCGAAGAACGGAGCCAUGCAACUUCGGCCACCCGUUCAUGUGAAAAGGUGGGUCCCAGGGACUUUUCGGCCUACUGGUGAUCAAAAAGGACUUUUCGGCCUACUACUGACCAAAAAGGACUUUUUGGCCCAGGUACGCACCUCUACGGCCACGGCACGGCCAAAAAGCCCUUUUCGGCCAAAUCCUGGCCGAAAACCCUCUCUUCGGCCAACACGAGGCCAACAGGGUCAUAGUUUUGAUUUUUUUGCAUUGGGUGCUAUAGUUUCCGAAAUUGCUAUAAAUAAAGUGAUAGUUUUGAAAAAAAUCGACAAUUCCUCUGUGUGUAUUGAUUUUGUGGUGCAGAUAUUUCAUCCAGUGACAACUUGUCAUCAGGAUUUCGGUGCGCCAUGUAGAAAGAAUAUUUUCCACGAUAAUGAAAGAAGGAAGAAAGUAUGGCCUAUUUAUUUUCGGUAAUGUUACCCAACUGAUGUUUGUUUGGAAGGGGGUGGCAAGCGUACCCUCUUCAAUGGCAGUUUUAGUUCCGAGAAGAGAUAAAACUAUGACAAAUUUUGAACGAAAAUUGCCUUUUCGGGUACAAUUGUCAUGUCUUCUAAAGAAAAUGCCACCCCUCACCAAUUCACCACAACUAAAAUUGUCACUGAAUCGCUUGCGUGUGCCACCCCGCGGGAAUGUUCACCUAUUAACAUGGUCCUUUAUUUUUCGAAGUUUCUCAAUUUGAUAGAGGUCAGUACGACUAAAAAUUUGUUUACUUAUCCAAUGAUAUGAAGCAAAAAUUAGGAAUCCGCUUAUGUAUUAAAGCCGAUCCACUUAGGCAUUAGGACCCGCUUUGCCGGUUGAUUCUAGAGACUAAUUUGUAUAGAGGCUCUUGUGCUCGUGGUGAGCGCUCAAUCCCAUUGAAUAUGAUCCCCGAAUUAAACAUGGACAGAGAUGUUACCACCCUCAAGGAGCUUCCUGAACUAAUCAUGGAAAGAGAUGCUGCCGUGAUGGGAAUAUGGUGAGUGACGGUUUGCCACAGAGCAUGCUAGAACCGCUGUUUGGCUAGCAAUCACUCUUUACAUCUUACAAGAGACAAACCCAAUUAUACUCGAAUUCUGUUAUUUCCCUCCUUGAACAGGUCAGUAAAUUUUCUUUAAAACCGUUGGUGAUUUGUUGCAUGCGGCACAAAGAACAAUUUCUGCAUUGCAAAACUAAUAUGUAUAUAUAUACUCCUUCUAUUCCUAAAUAUAAGGUGUAUUAUUUUUUCAAAAAGUCAAAACUUCAAACAUUGACAUGUUUAUAGACAAUUUAUAGACAAAAAGCCUACAGUGCCAAAUAAUUAUCACUACAUUCACCAUAUACUUUGAUAUUUUAUACAUUUAGUAUUGCAAAUCUUCAUAUAUUCUGCUAUAACAUUUGACUUUUUGAAAAACUUUUGUCCUGCUAGAACACUUCCUAUAGCAACUUAAGAUGCUCCUACACCUCCUCCUCCAAAGAAAACAAAUAUUUAACCUCCUCCUAAUUUUGUUCAAGAAAGAUGUCUGGUAGUUUUUGCAAAAGACUAAGAAACAGGCAGUCGAAAGUCAAAAUUUAAACAGAAUCACAGAAGGCAGGUGACUAAUGGACUUGAUGAUAAAACAGUCAUAAAAGGUUGUGGUAAUGACAUAUCUGCUAUAGGGAAUCGGCCAAAGUUGUUGUAAUGACAAGUACGACAGAGCUUAAGUAUGCAAUAGUAAGCAUGCAUACACUAUUGCAAAGUGGAAUAAGCAUUCGCAAGAAUAGAUCAAACCAAGACAUAUUAUGACAGAACACAUCGACAUUCAACAUAUCCAAAUAUGUCUGAACAGGAAUAGGUUUCACAAAGACAAGCAUCAGGCACGUUCUUGCCACUACAUCGAAAUGUUCAUUCCAUAAAACUUAACGCAUAGCUAAAACAGUUCUAGAUAUCUUGUAAAACACAUUCACUUCAAAAUCUCCAGCCAAAAGCGAGACCCUCAGAUGCACAUCCAUCUUAACGGUUAGCCUUGGCAACACGCUCAAUCUCGUCCUUCUUCUUGAUGGCAUAGCUG
rnacentral:lncRNA from 1 species